rnacentral:misc_RNA from 1 species
AGUGCAUUUAUUUCUGUGUUUUCCUUGCCAAUGAAAUAAGGCAUCUUAGUAUUGAGAUAACUGUGUAUUGUUUAUUUAGUACAUUAUAUAUAACAAUGUACAACAGCCAAUUAUUUUGAUUUUGCUAGACUGUUGGAUGCUAGUGCAUUACUUAUUUGUGGAUUUGAGUCACCAAAGAAUGAAACAUGUCUAUAUUCUGAUUCACUUACAUGUACUAUAGAUGCCCUAUGUUAAUGUUUUUCCUUUGAUACCAAGAUACAGUACUGGUGACGUGUUACGUCUGUACAUUGUUGUUUCUUGGUUCAGGGAUCCCUCUAAGACUCACUAGCUUACAGCGACAGCAUUCCAUUUUGUGUUACAUUGGUCUGUUCACAGAACUUGGUACUUCGUGCGUGUGGCUGUUGACUGAAUCUCACACACAGAAACAGUUAGUGCUUAUUGAUAUAUUUAUUAUGUACAGUAUAUAUGUUAUUAAGGUGUUGCAAUGUACCUGUAUUUAUAAUACUAUCAAAGAUAGUUUUAAUUAAUUACUAAACCAAAUCUUUUAGGUCACAUUUUUAUCCAUUGUUUAUCAAGUAAUAGAACAGUUAUAUUUUUUUCUCUAGUCAUCAAAUCAUAUGGAUAGGAGAUAAUUUUUUCUUCAACUGUUUAUUACUCUCUCUGUCACAGACCCUGGUUAAGUGGUACAUCAAGUAAAUGCUUUCUGCAUGUACAAUCUGGCUGUAAUUUAUAAGACUACAUACACCAUGUAUACUUUACCAUUCAAAUUUGAUCUGGGUGAUAGAAUUCACAUCUCUUUACCUUAUAUGAACUUUUUUAUCAUGUAUUGUAGUCCAGUGCAUUAUAAAAUUCAGAUUUUUGGUCAAUUGUUAUUUGUAUUACGGUAAUUUCAGAUGAACUUGGUUGCCUUAAACAAAAUAAAUAUAAAUUUAAGACAUAGUUUUCAAGAACAUAGUUAUAAAAAAUCAAUCCUCACAUCAUUUCCCUUCUUUUUGUUUAUAACUUAACAAAUUUACAGAUUAUAAACAAAUUACACUUUAAAAGAAAGAAAAAUUGUUCAUUCAGGCUAUGAUUGUGUCAUUUUGUUUAUCGGUAAUGGCCAAUUUACUGAUUUUCAUGGUUUACUCAUUCUGACAAGAACUGGUUUGUUGGUCUGUUGGUGACCCUGUACACAAAUGUCAUUACAUUCUGUACCAAACAAAUACUGUGCAGUCAGAAAUGGUUUCUGUAGAAGACACUUCAUACUCAUUAAAAAAAAAGUACAUGUCUGUACCAAAUGAUGUUAAUUGGGAUGCAUUUGUUGAGCAGUGAUGAUUUCCUUUUGAGAGGCAGUGUGAUUGUGUUGUUACUGUGUUCAGAGGCUGACAACAGCUGACAGAAUAAAACAUUACAAA